rnacentral:rRNA from 1 species
GAUGAACGCUGGCGGCGUGCCUCAAACAUGCAAGUCGAGCGAGGCUAUGAGUUACCGCAAGGUAAGGCAUAGCCUAGCGGCGAACGGGUGAGUAACACGUGGGUAACCUACCUGGAAGACAGGGAUAACGAUUCGAAAGGGUCGCUAAUACCUGAUAAUAUCCGUCUGCCGGAUGGCGGAGGGAAGAAAGGGGGAAACCCGCUUUCAGAUGGGCCCGCGUCCCAUCAGCUAGUUGGUAAGGUAAAGGCUUACCAAGGCGACGACGGGUAGCCGGUCUGAGAGGAUGUACGGCCACACUGGGACUGAGAUACGGCCCAGACUCCUACGGGAGGCAGCAGUUGGGAAUCUUAGGCAAUGGACGAAAGUCUGACCUAGCGACGCCGCGUGAGGGAAGAAGGCCUUCGGGUUGUAAACCUCUGUCAUGGGGAGAAGGAAGUGACGGUACCCAAGAGGAAGCCCCUGCUACUACGUG